AUUAAACAGAAUUUUCUAAUUCAAUUUAAUUAUAAUCUAUAUAUUGAUCUAUCAUUGAAUUUUAAUAAAACAAAUUGAAUUACAUUUUAAUAAUUCAUUAACAACUAUAUAUAAAAAUUAAAUUAACUAAAUUUUAAAGUGUAACUUCCAUUUAAUGAACAAGAUUCUUUAAUAUUUAAAUACCGCCAAGUAAACUAACUUUGAUCAUUCCAUUAAUUACUAUAUUUUAUUCAUUAAUCCUUCUAGGGUAUCUAAUCCUAUUGACUUAAAUUAAUUAAAAUUGAAGAAUCACUAAUUUAAUUAAAAUCUAAAAAUUUCACUUAACUACUUCAAUUAAAAUUAAACUUAACCUUCAAAAAAAGUAAAAAUUAAUUUUACCGACCAUGUAUAAC
rnacentral:rRNA from 1 species